rnacentral:rRNA from 1 species
AGUAAAUAGAUACCCGGGUAGUCCACGCCGUAAACUAUGGAUGCUAGCUGUGAACCGUAUCGACCCGGUUCGUAGCGAAAGCUAAACGCGUUAAGCAUCCCACCUGUGGAGUACGGCCGCAAGGCUAAAACAUAAAGGAAUUGACGGGGACCCGCACAAGCGGUGGAGCGUGUUGUUUAAUUCGAUGGUAAGCGAAGAACCUUACCCAGGCUUGACAUCCCGAGAAGCACUGCGAAAGCAGAGUGUGCCGUAAGGAACUCGGUGACAGGUGUUGCAUGGCCGUCGUCAGCUCGUGUCGUGAGAUGUUUGGUUAAGUCCAUCAACGAGCGCAACCCUUAUAGUCAGUUGUAUUUUUCUGGCUAGACUGCCCC